GAGCCUUUCGGUUCGGCCUCUUGUUUUCACUUCCACCCAAAGCCUGGCCUCCCAUUUGUACGCAGCUACUCUCCUGAUGUCCUGCCCACCAAGCCUCUUGCUUCCUCCUCUCCCCAGUCUGCUGCAUUUGCAGCCAUUCUUCCCUCACCUGAGCUGAGGUCUCCCCUCGCUCCAUGGUGGGCACCCUCCAUUCUUCCCUAGUGCCGGGGAGGGUGUGGGAAGAGAGCAGACCCAGGGCUGAGUCCUACCCCUCUCCCACCUCCUGGUCCUGUGAGGGUCCAGAGGGAUGAACAUCUGCCCUCUGUCUUCCCUGCCAUCCAUCCUUCCUCAGGAAGCUGGGUGACCAUGAGGAUCCAUCACCUGUGGAGGAGGGUCCCAGCCCCUGCUGUGCUGGCAGGACCAUGAUCAUGUCAUGUCUAUGACUUCAUCUCCUAAGCAUAAAAUUCCAAGCCUCGGAAUUU